CACGCCGUAAACGAUGAGUACUAAGUGUCGGGGGAAUCUCGGUGCUGAAGCAAAUGUAAUAAGUACUCCGCCUGAGUAGUACGUGCGCAAGCAUGAAACUCAAAGGAAUUGACGGGACCCUGCACAAGCGGUGGAUCAUGUUGUUUAAUUCGUGGAUACGCGAAGAACCGGACCAGGCCUUGACAUCCUCUGCAAAGCUAUAGAGAUAUAGUGGAGGUUAACAGAGAGACAGGUGG
rnacentral:rRNA from 1 species